GGUGCAAGCGUUGCUCGGAUUUACUGGGCGUAAAGCGUACGCAGACGGUGAGAAAGGUCGGAUGUGAAAGCCCCGGGCUCAACCCGGGAACUGCAUCCGAAACCAUCUCGCUUGAGUAUGGGAGAGGGAAGCGGAAUUCCACGUGUAGCAGUGAAAUGCGUAGAGAUGUGGAGGAACACCGAUGGCGAAGGCAGCCCCCUGGGCCGAUACUGACGCUCAGGCACGAAAGCGUGGGGAGCAAACAGG
rnacentral:rRNA from 1 species